GCCGCACACUGAAAGGAGGGGCUGGCGGGCUCCGGGGAGGACAAUAGAGGCCCCUCUCGGCUCUCGGACGCCGCCUAGGCCGCCCUCCCCGGUCCCAGCGCAGCGGCAGCCCCACCCUGAGGCUUUGCAAGGACAGCCUUUCUCCCCCACUCCCGUUCAGGGACCACCCCCACGUUCCCACCCCAAAAGACCGAGAUGGACGCCUCUCAGCUCCCUGUCUUGGGCAUGAAGGGACAAACAAGGGGCCUGCCACGCCGUUCCAGACGGACCUUGCACAUGUCACGGCGCCUGCCAUGUGUCCGCGGCUCAGUGAAUACCGGUGUCAGGAAUGGUCAUAAGGACACAAGCCAGUCCAGGGACUGACAGGGUGGGGGAUGGUGGGCAGUGGGUUCUGUCUGGCUCACCUCGUGACUUCACUUGUACCCCUAGACCCUUGGUCCAAGUGAGGCCAGCACAACCUGGUGGUGGGGGGGUGGGGGUCUAUGUGGUGAGAUGGUGUGUGCCUAAGGCAGAGGGGGUGGGGCUCUCGGGGGAAAAACUGGGAGGGGGUCCCCUGGUCAGAAAAGAAGGGAGAGAAAGGAGCAGACGAGCCGUGCGGACGUUGUGCUGCACGUACAUAUGCCACUGGCUCGAUGUUCCCCUGGGGUCAGACAUCGUACUGAAACCACCUUAUAAUAAGGUCCUUCUGAUGUUUCAGUAAGAAAAUCUUCCAGGGCCUCAGUCACAGUGCCCGGAGGUUCCACAAGCA